ensembl:lincRNA Gm5547 predicted gene 5547
AAACUGCUUCACUUCUGAGAGACCAGGGCCCUUUCCAGUAGCUUUAGGGAUGCUGUCCAUGACCCAAACUUGGAGGAGGACAAGUGAAUGUAUCUCAUAAAGGAGAAGGCUGGGAAGCCAAGGCGGAGAAGGACAUGUGAGACUGGGCAGGCUUCAGCUGUCAUCUGUGGGAAGUGGCUUUUGGUUGACCAGUGGUACUUCCCAGUGUCAGCACGUGUGUUGUGUCGGCAGCUCAGACCUUGCGCUGAGGGGCCCCUGUCCUCAGCCACCCUUCAUCUUGGGAAAACUCUCUGGUGUAGAGCAGGGAGUUGCCUUGCUGAAGUGCCCGCUCUGAAUGAAGAAGAACUGGGUCUGCAGUCUGUCCACAGGAAGAAGACUGUAUGUGAGCACAGUCUCCAUGUUCACUGUGCCUCAUGCCGUCCCUGAUAUCAUGGAGGAAAUGAAUGGUCAUUUAAGAAUCCUCAUUGGCUAAAGAGCUGGUGGUUUAAAUGAAUGAAUCUAAUUGCAAACUGUGAAGGGCUGGUCCUGGUAUUAAGAAGAUGGACGAUUGUGUGAAGGGAAUGUGCUAAGACUUGUUUGUUGAAAAUGGAAUUAUUAAUGGCUUGUCAGUAAAGUUAAGAAUGCCUUAAAUCAUUCCUCUCUUACUCUAUUCAUAGAAGAAAUAAAACAGAUGAAUUUAUAAAGG